rnacentral:piRNA from 1 species
UGCAACCUUCAUAGUUGCAAA